rnacentral:rRNA from 1 species
GACGAACGCUGGCGGCGCGCCUAACACAUGCAAGUCGAGCGAGAACCAGGGCUUCGGCCCUGGGGACAGCGGCGAACGGGUGAGUAACACGUGAGUCAUCCACCCUCGGCACCGGGAUAGCCCGGGGAAACCCGGAUUAAUACCGGAUGGCCCGCCCACCUCUCGGGGUGGUCGGAAAAGGUAGCUCCGGCCUCCGGCCGAGGACGAGCUCGCGGCGGAUUAGCUUGUUGGUGGGGUAAUGGCCUACCAAGGCGACGAUCCGUAGCUGGUCUGGGAGGACGAUCAGCCACACUGGGACUGGGACACGGCCCGGACUCCUACGGGAGGCAGCAGUGGGGAAUCUUGCGCAAAGGGCGAAAGCCUGACGCAGCGACGCCGCGUGCGGGAAGAAGGCCUUCGGGUUGUAAACCGCUUUCAGGAGGGACGAAGCCACUCGGGUGAAUAGCCCAGAGGGUGACGGUACCUCCAGAAGAAGCCCCGGCUAACUACGUGCCAGCCGCCGCGGUAAUAC